GAUGAACGCUGGCGGUAUGCUUAACACAUGCAAGUCGAACGGACUCUUCGGAGUUAGUGGCGGACGGGUGAGUAACGCGUGAGAAUCUGGCUUUGGGUUCGGGACAACCACUGGAAACGGUGGCUAAUACCGGAUGUGUCGAGAGGUAAAAGAGAGAUUGCCUGAAGAUGAGCUCGCGUCUGAUUAGCUAGUUGGUGAGGUAAAGGCUCACCAAGGCAGCGAUCAGUAGCUGGUCUGAGAGGAUGACCAGCCACACUGGGACUGAGACACGGCCCAGACUCCUACGGGAGGCAGCAGUGGGGAAUUUUCCGCAAUGGGCGAAAGCCUGACGGAGCAAUACCGCGUGAGGGAAGAAGGCUCUUGGGUUGUAAACCUCUUUUCUUAGGGAAGAACAAAAUGACGGUACCUAAGGAAUCAGCAUCGGCUAACUCCGUG
rnacentral:rRNA from 1 species